UACGGAGGGGGCUAGCGUUGUUCGGAAUUACUGGGCGUAAAGCGCACGUAGGCGGACUGUUAAGUCGGGGGUGAAAUCCUGGGGCUCAACCUCAGAAUUGCCUCCGAUACUGGCAGUCUCGAGUCCGGGAGAGGUGAGUGGAACUGCGAGUGUAGAGGUGAAAUUCGUAGAUAUUCGCAAGAACACCAGUGGCGAAGGCGGCUCACUGGCCCGGUACUGACGCUGAGGUGCGGAAAGCGUGGGGAGCAAACAGG
rnacentral:rRNA from 1 species